GCCUUCGUGGUGUAGUUGUCAGCACGCUCGCCACGUAUUCGAAAGGUCCGUGGUUCGAGUCCCGGCGAGGGCA
rfam:Stegodyphus mimosarum contig6507, whole genome shotgun sequence.